rnacentral:rRNA from 1 species
CAGCAGCCACGGUAACACGGAGGGUGCAAGCGUUAUCCGGAUUUAUUGGGUUUAAAGGGUCCGUAGGCGGAUCUGUAAGUCAGUGGUGAAAUCUCACAGCUUAACUGUGAAACUGCCAUUGAUACUGCAGGUCUUGAGUAAAUUUGAAGUGGCUGGAAUAAGUAGUGUAGCGGUGAAAUGCAUAGAUAUUACUUAGAACACCAAUUGCGAAGGCAGGUCACUAAGAUUUAACUGACGCUGAUGGACGAAAGCGUGGGGAGCGAACAGGAUUAGAUACCCCAGUAGUCCCUGUCUCUUAUAC